GGGUAGCUGAAAACUACCGUUAAAUCCAAAAAUAGAUGCCUGAGAUUUAUCCACAUCAACAAGAGUAAAAAUUCUACUCACAGAUUAAAUCAUGAGUAAAAAUUUUACUGGGAGUAAACUUUUUACUAUUGAUGACGUGGACAAAUCCCAGACAUCUAUUUUUGAAUUCAUCGGUAGUUUCUAAAUUUUC
rnacentral:pre_miRNA from 1 species